AUUGAACGCUGGCGGCAGGCCUAACACAUGCAAGUCGAGCGAGCGGCGGACGGGUGAGUACUGUCUGUGAACCUGCCUGAUGGAGGGGGAUAACUACUGGAAACGCUAGCUAAUACCGCAUACCAUCAGAUGUGCCCCGAUGUGAUUAGCUAGUAGGUGGGGUAAUGGCUCACCUAGGCGACGAUCCCUAGCUGGUCUGAGAGGAUGACCAGCCACACUGGAACUGAGACACGGUCCAGACUCCUACGGGAGGCAGCAGUGGGGAAUAUUGCACAAUGGGCGAAAGCCUGAUGCAGCCAUGCCGCGUGUGUGAAGAAGGCCUUCGGGUUGUAAAGCACUUUAAGCGGGGAGGCGUUACCCGCAGAAGAAGCACCGGCUAACUCCGUGCCAGCAGCCGCGGUAAUUC
rnacentral:rRNA from 1 species